rnacentral:tRNA from 1 species
GGAGCUUAUAUUCAGCUGGUUUCGUUCAAAAGCGAAGCUUUUGGACGCUCACAGAGCACCUGCCUUACAAGCAGGGGGUCACUGGUUCGAAUCCAGUAGUUCCCA